rnacentral:lncRNA from 1 species
GAGAGCUUGCGAUCUGGCUCCUGGUUCGAGAGAGUGAUGAAUGUGAUGAGCGCUGCUUGCUCAUUAAGAGGAUCUGCAGUUGAAAUGGAGGAGGACGUGUUUUCAUAAGGAUUAAUUCAGCUGACGUUUCAUAGUGAUUUUGGUUAAGGGUUUUUCUAAGUCGGGCUGGCGACUUUAAAACUAGCGCUACAUGGGAGGUAACCCAUUUUAUUUUUCUUAGUUUGCUUUUCUUUUCUUUUU